CUGGCGGCGUGCCUAACACAUGCAAGUCGAGCGAGGAGAUCCUCGGGAUGAUCCUAGCGGCGGACGGGUGAGUAACACGUGGGCAACCUGCCUCAUAGAGAGGAAUAGCCUUCCGAAAGGGAGAUUAAUACCUCAUAACAUUGCAGUUUCGCAUGGAACAGCAAUUAAAGGAGUAAUCCGCUAUGAGAUGGGCCCGCGGCGCAUUAGCUAGUUGGUGAGGUAACGGCUCACCAAGGCGACGAUGCGUAGCCGACCUGAGAGGGUGAUCGGCCACAUUGGGACUGAGACACGGCCCAGACUCCUACGGGAGGCAGCAGUGGGGAAUAUUGCACAAUGGGGGAAACCCUGAUGCAGCCAACGCCGCGUGAGUGAUGACGGCCUUCGGGUUGUAAAGCUCUGUCUUCAGGGACGAUAAUGACGGUACCUGAGGAGGAAGCCACGGCUAACUACGUGCCAGCAGCAGC
rnacentral:rRNA from 1 species